ACGGAGGGAGCUAGCGUUGUUCGGAAUUACUGGGCGUAAAGCGCACGUAGGCGGCUACUCAAGUCAGAGGUGAAAGCCCGGGGCUCAACCCCGGAACUGCCUUUGAAACUAGGUAGCUAGAAUCUUGGAGAGGUCAGUGGAAUUCCGAGUGAAGAGGGGGAAUGCGUAGAUAUUCGGAAGAAGACGAGAGGGGAAGGCGAGUAAAUGGACAAGUAUUGACGCUGAGGUGCGAAAGCGUGGCGAGCAAACAG
rnacentral:rRNA from 1 species